rnacentral:rRNA from 1 species
GCGAUGAAGGGCGUGGACAGCUGCGAAAAGCCAGAGGGAGCCGCUAACAGGCCGUGAUCUCUGGAUCCCCGAAUGGGACAACCCACCCGACUCCGGUCGGGUACUUCUCGCUGAAUCUAUAGGCGAGAGAGAGCAAACCCAGGGAAGUGAAACAUCUCAGUACCUGGAGGAAAAGAAAUCAACCGAGAUUCUCCUAGUAGCGGCGAGCGAACGGGGACCAGCCCAAACCGUCUGUCGCGAGACAGGCGGGGUUGUAGGGCCCGCGAUGUGAGUCUGCUGAUCGAUGCGAACAGGCUUGGAACGGCCGGCCAGAGAGGGUGACAGCCCCGUAACUGACAGUCAGCAGCCUCUAGUGGGUACCUGAGUACCGCAGGACACGUGCAAUCCGGCGGGAAUCCACGGAGACCAUUCCGUAAGGCUAAAUAUUACCGACCGACCGAUAGUGAACGAGUACCGUGAGGGAAAGGUGAAAAGAACCCCGAGAGGGAGUGAAAGAGAACCUGAAACCACUCGCUUACAAG